CCUACGGGUGACAGCAGUGGGGAAUAUUGCACAAUGGGGGAAACCCUGAUGCAGCAACGCCGCGUGAAGGAAGACGGUUUUCGGAUUGUAAACUUCUAUCAACAGGGAAGAAAGAAAUGACGGUACCUAAAUAAUAAGCCCCGGCUAACUACGUGCCAGCAGCCGCGGUAAUACGUAGGGGGCAAGCGUUAUCCGGAUUUACUGGGUGUAAAGGGAGAGUAGGCGGCAAGGUAAGCGAUAUGUGAAAGCCUUAAGCUUAACUAAAGGCUUGAAUAAGGAACUAUUUAGAUAGAGUAUAGGAGAGGAGAGCGGAAUUCCUAGUGUAGCGGUGAAAUGGGUAGAUAUUAGGAAGAACACAAGUGGCGAAGGCGGCUGUCUGAAAUGAAACU
rnacentral:rRNA from 1 species